rnacentral:rRNA from 1 species
UACGUAGGGUGCAAGCGUUAAUCGGAAUUACUGGGCGUAAAGCGUGCGCAGGCGGCUCGGAAAGUCGGAUGUGAAAGCCCGGAGCUCAACUCCGGAAGUGCACUCGAAACUCCCGAGCUGGAGUCCUGGAGAGGAAGGCGGAAUUCUCGGUGUAGAGGUGAAAUGCGUAGAUAUCGGGAGGAACACCAGUGGCGAAGGCGGCUACCUGGCCCAUUCUUGACGCUGAGGCGCGAAAGCUAGGGGAGCAAACGGG